rnacentral:rRNA from 1 species
UGGGGAAUAUUGCACAAUGGGCGCAAGCCUGAUGCAGCAACGCCGCGUGAGGGAUGAAGGCCUUCGGGUUGUAAACCUCUUUUAGCAGGGAAGAAGCGAAAGUGACGGUACCUGCAGAAAAAGCACCGGCUAACUACGUGCCAGCAGCCGCGGUAAUACGUAGGGUGCAAGCGUUGUCCGGAAUUAUUGGGCGUAAAGAGCUCGUAGGCGGUUUGUCACGUCUGCUGUGAAAAUCCAAGGCUCAACCUUGGACUUGCAGUGGGUACGGGCAGGCUAGAGUGCGGUAGGGGAGAUGGGAAUUCCUGGUGUAGCGGUGGAAUGCGCAGAUAUCAGGAGGAACACCAAUGGCGAAGGCACAUCUCUGGGCCGUAACUGACGCUGAGGAGCGAAAGCGUGGGGAGCAAACAGG